GACGAACGCUGGCGGCGUGCUUAACACAUGCAAGUCGAACGGAAAGGCCCCCACCUUGGUGGGGUGCUCGAGUGGCGAACGGGUGAGUAACACGUGGGUGAUCUGCCCUGUACUUCGGGAUAAGCUUGGGAAACUGGGUCUAAUACCGGAUAGGACCAUGGUUUAGUGUCUCAUGGUGGAAAAAUUAUUGUUUUGGUGCAGGAUGAGCUUGCGGCCUAUCAGCUUGUUGGUGGGGUAAUGGCCUACCAAGGCGUCGACGGGUAGCCGGCCUGAGAGGGUGGACGGCCACAUUGGGACUGAGAUACGGCCCAGACUCCUACGGGAGGCAGCAGUGGGGAAUAUUGCACAAUGGGCGCAAGCCUGAUGCAGCGACGCCGCGUGGGGGAUGACGGCCUUCGGGUUGUAAACUCCUUUCGUUAGGGACGAAGCCACACCUUUUUUGGGUGUGGUGACGGUACCUUUGUUAAGAAGCACCGGCUAACUACGUG
rnacentral:rRNA from 1 species